AGAGUUUGAUCCUGGCUCAGGAUGAACGCUAGCGACAGGCUUAACACAUGCAAGUCGAGGGGCAGCGGGGGCGAAGCUUGCUUCGCCUGCCGGCGACCGGCGCACGGGUGAGUAACACGUAUGCGACCUGCCCCCCGCAGGGGGAUAACCGGGAGAAAUCCCGACUAAUACCGCGUAACGCCGCGGGGCUGCAUGGCCCCGCGGCCAAAGGAAGCGAUUCCGGCGGGGGAUGGGCAUGCGGCGCAUUAGCUAGUCGGCGGGGUAACGGCCCACCGAGGCGACGAUGCGUAGGGGUUCUGAGAGGAAGGUCCCCCACACUGGUACUGAGACACGGACCAGACUCCUACGGGAGGCAGCAGUGAGGAAUAUUGGUCAAUGGGCGGGAGCCUGAACCAGCCAAGUCGCGUGAGGGAAGACGGUCCUACGGAUUGUAAACCUCUUUUGCCGGGGAGCAACGGGGUCCUUGCGAGGGCCCGAUGAGAGUACCCGGAGAAAAAGCAUCGGCUAACUCCGUGCCAGCAGCCGCGGUAAUACGGAGGAUGCGAGCGUUAUCCGGAUUUAUUGGGUUUAAAGGGUGCGUAGGCGGGCUGUUAAGUCAGCGGUCAAAUGUCGGGGCUCAACCCCGGCCUGCCGUUGAAACUGGCGGCCUCGAGUGGGCGAGAAGUAUGCGGAAUGCGUGGUGUAGCGGUGAAAUGCAUAGAUAUCACGCAGAACUCCGAUUGCGAAGGCAGCAUACCGGCGCCCGACUGACGCUGAGGCACGAAAGGGUGGGGUAUCGAACAGGAUUUGAUCCCCGGUAUUCCACGCAGUAAACGAUGAAGUGCUAGCUGUCCGGUUCUACGGGACUGGGUGGCGCAGAGAAAGCGUUAAGCAUUCCCACGUGGGGAGGACGCCGGCAACGGUGAAACUCAAAGGGAAUAGACGGGGGCCCGCACAAGCGGAGGAACAUGUGGUUUAAUUCGAUGAUACGCGAGGAACCUUACCCGGGCUCAAACGCCAAAGGACAGCCGCUGAAAGGCGGCCUCCCUCCGGGGUCUUUGGCGAGGUGCUGCAUGGUUGUCGUCAGCUCGUGCCGUGAGGUGUCGGCUUAAGUGCCAUAACGAGCGCAACCCCCAUCGACAGUUGCUAACGGGUGGAGCCGAGGACUCUGUCGAGACUGCCGGCGCAAGCUGCGAGGAAGGCGGGGAUGACGUCAAAUCAGCACGGCCCUUACGUCCGGGGCGACACACGUGUUACAAUGGCCGGUACAGCGGGAUGCCAGGGCGCGAGUCCGAGCGGAACCCGAAAACCGGUCUCAGUUCGGAUUGGAGUCUGCAACCCGACUCCAUGAAGCUGGAUUCGCUAGUAAUCGCGCAUCAGCCACGGCGCGGUGAAUACGUUCCCGGGCCUUGCACAAAGCGCCCGUCA
rnacentral:rRNA from 1 species